rnacentral:rRNA from 1 species
GAUUAUGGCUCAGGACGAACGCUGGCGGCGUGCUUAAUACAUGCAAGUCGAACGGACCGAUUCUAGUAGUUUACUAUUGGGAAAGGUUAGUGGCGGACGGGUGAGUAACGCGUGGGUAAUCUGCCCCUGAGUCCGGGAUAACAGAGCGAAAGUUCUGCUAAGACCGGAUACUCUUUACCAGUUGCAUAACGGGUAAAGGAAAGGUAACGCUUAGGGAUGAGUCCGCGUCCCAUUAGCUAGUUGGUGAGGUAAGAGCUCACCAAGGCGACGAUGGGUAGCCGGCCUGAGAGGGUGGACGGCCACACUGGGACUGAGACACGGCCCAGACUCCUACGGGAGGCAGCAGUAGGGAAUUUUCCGCAAUGGGCGCCAAGCCUGACGGAGCAACGCCGCGUGAGGGACGAAGGUCUUCGGAUCGUAAACCUUUGUCAUCGAGGACGAUAAUGACGGUACUCGAGGAGGAAGCCCCGGCUAACUACGUGCCAGCCGCCGC